GCUCUGAUAGCUCAGCUGGAUAGAGCACUUCCCUCCUAAGGAAGGGGUCGGGCGUUCGAAUCGCCCUCGGGGCAGCA
rnacentral:tRNA from 1 species